UCUGAACCUUCUAUAAAGGAAGGCUUUGGGAGGAAUUUAUUGCUCUGUCUUCCAGCCAUCCAAUCAAAGGGGAGAGGCAGCUGAGGGUGCUAAGAAGUUGCUGAACCUCCAAGAUGAUACGAUUUCAUGUGAUUUGAACUUCUCCAGGGGGAAGCAUGAUGUCGUUGGAGUCUAUACCAAUCAAAGCAACUAAUGGAAAAGGAAGCUCUCUGCUGCCUGAGCCAGGUUGCCCGAAGUGCUUUCUCUGCAGUUGCUCAUGUUCCAUUCAAAAAAGGAGGUCACCUUGGAAAAAGAGAAGCUUUUUGAAUACAGCCCUAAGGACAGUCGAGGAGUUGGCCAAGGAGCUCUAUGGAGACACAGGAAGAAGAUUUUUCAAGAACCAGCGGGAGGAACUGGGCCACACUGAAAAAUAUUCAUUGGUCUCCCCAAACUCAGGAAGUCCAGAAGUACCCUGGUUGCUCUGAAGCCAUUAAGGGGCGGCUCACUGCUCCUGCCUCUGCUUUUAAUUCUGGUUCCAGUUCCAGCCUUCUGACUUUCUUGCCUGGGUUGACAACAUCUGUCUACACCUUUUGGAACACAAGCAAGUCCCACUCUCCCCGAAGUCCUGGAUGUCAUGAUUUGCUAACUCCUCACUUCCUGCCUCCAAGGGGGUGGAACAGGGCACACAGUACUUGUAUUGUGAAGUAUAAUCAUUUCUUUGUUUAACUGAUUUGAUUUUAAAUAUCGUCAUUAUAUUACUGGAUUAUUGACAAUAGAAAUAUAAACUGAUCUUCAGUGAAUGGCUGUUGAUUUUUUCUGCUUAAGUUGUGACAUAUCAACAUCUAAUAAAAAACUUACAAUGAUAAUGGCCA
rnacentral:lncRNA from 1 species